CGUGAGAGGGUAGCAUAUCCUUGAAGUGGCGCACGGGUGAGUAAGACGUAGGUAACCUGCCCUGAAGUGGGGGAUAACAGCUGGAAACGGCUGCUAACACCGCAUAAUGCCGGGAUGUCGGGAGACAUUUUGGUGAAAACUCUGGUGCUUCAGGAGGGGCCUGCGGCCGAUUAGCUAGUUGGUGGGGUAAAGGCCCACCAAGGCGACGAUCGGUAGCUGGUCUGAGAGGACGAUCAGCCACACGGGAACUGAGACACGGUCCCGACUCCUACGGGGGGCAGCAGUGAGGAAUAUUGGGCAAUGGGCGCAAGCCUGACCCAGCAACGCCGCGUGGAGGAAGACGGCCUUCGGGUUGUAAACUCCUUUUACGGGGGAAGAGGAAGGACGGUACCCCGAGAAUAAGUCACGGCUAACUACGUGCCAGCAGCCGCGGUAAUACGUAGGUGACAAGCGUUAUCCGGAAUUACUGGGCGUAAAGCGCACGCAGGCGGCGCAUUAAGUCUGACGUGAAAUCUCCCGGCUUAACUGGGAGGGGUCGUUGGAGACUGGUGUGCUUGAGGCGAUGAGAGGGGUGUAGAAUUCCCGGUGUAGUGGUGGAAUGCGUAGAUAUCGGGAGGAAUACCAGUGGCGAAAGCGACACCCUGGCAUUAGCCUGACGCUCAGGUGCGAAGGCGUGGGGAGCGAACGGGAUUAGAUA
rnacentral:rRNA from 1 species